rnacentral:lncRNA from 1 species
GUGACUGACUGGCAGCUCAUACAGGUCUUGGCAAUUAUUUCUCAGUGCAGGCCUUCUCUAGCAGAGCUUUCUGUGGACAUGUGGAACAUCACAGCCUUAGGUGUUUGCCACCACAAUGGUCAUUAUGUUGAGGUGCUUCAGAAAUGGCUUCCUGCAUGCAGAAUAUCAUCCAGGUUCUUCUGGAAGCUAUUGCUGCAAAUUCAUUGACCAAAAAAACCAAGGAGGCAUCAGAAGCUAAUAUUGGUGAUGAGGAUAAAAGCAGAAACUCAGCAACAAAUACUUGGCCUGUUUGAGUGAGAGAUUUGCAACUUUCCCCAGCUUGAAAGAAGAAAAUGCAGAAAGAGUUAACAAGACAUGUUGGAUGUGGAAAAUGACUGCUCCCAAAUGAGACGUUUUGGUCCUGUGAAGAGGUAGGAGUAGCAGAGAACAUGAAUCACUUGACUAAUCUGUACAAAAUGGGCUUAGUGAGCUUCUGCUUCAAAUCUUAUCCCCACAUUAGAUAGCAUUAAACCAGUUGUC